UACGUAGGGUCCGAGCGUUGUCCGGAAUUAUUGGGCGUAAAGGGCUCGUAGGCGGUUUGUCGCGUCGGGAGUGAAAACUCAGGGCUCAACCCUGAGCGUGCUUCCGAUACGGGCAGACUAGAGGUAUGCAGGGGAGAACGGAAUUCCUGGUGUAGCGGUGGAAUGCGCAGAUAUCAGGAGGAACACCGGUGGCGAAGGCGGUUCUCUGGGCAUUACCUGACGCUGAGGAGCGAAAGCAUGGGGAGCAAAAGGG
rnacentral:rRNA from 1 species